AAGACUGUCUUUAACCUCAACAUCUCUUCACUCUUCACUUCACCAACUUGGGCAGUAAACAUGAUUCUUACAUGUACUGUUCUGCUGGUGCUGCUUCCUUAUGUGCGCUGCAUUACUUUGACCUCCUCAGAUCCUGAAGUUAAGCAGCCUGGAGAGGCAGUGAAAAUUUCCUGUAAAAUAUCCGGAUACUCUUUAACGGAUUAUGGCACAGUGUGGGUCCGUCAGCCUCCUGGUAAAAGGAUGGAGUGGAUCGGGAUUAUCUGGGGAGGUGGAAGCAUCGAUUACUUAGAGUCACUCAAGAGCCGGUUUGUCAUCAGCAGAGACACAUCCAGCAACGUUCUGUACUUGGAAAUGAAAAGCCUGACAGAUGAAGACACAGCUGUAUAUUACUGUGCAAAAACAGCCACAGUGAAGGAAAUUGACGCCCAGCCUGUACAGAAACUGACAGUGCAGAAAGCUGCACAGCUGACAGCAGAGCUGUCAAUAGAAUGUCAAUAG